AGGUCACCACCAGGCGUGGAGCCUGCGGCUUAAUUUGACUCAACACGGGGAAACUCACCAGGUCCAGAUGAAAUAAGGAUUGACAGAUUGAGAGCUCUUUCUUGAUUUUUCAGGUGGUGGUGCAUGGCCGUUCUUAGUUCGUGGGGUGACUUGUCUGCUUAAUUGCGAUAACGAGCGAGACCUUACUCUGCUAAAUAGCCAGGCUAACUUUGGUUGGUCGCCGGCUUCUUAGAGAGACUAUCAACUCAAGUUGAUGGAAGUUUGAGGCA
rnacentral:rRNA from 1 species